UACGGGGGGGGCAAGCGUUGUUCGGAAUUACUGGGCGUAAAGGGCUCGUAGGCGGCCAACUAAGUCAGACGUGAAAUCCCUCGGCUUAACCGGGGAACUGCGUCUGAUACUGGAUGGCUUGAGGUUGGGAGAGGGGUGCGGAAUUCCAGGAGUAGCGGUGAAAUGCGUAGAUAUCAGGAGGAACACCCGUAGCGAAGGCGGCACUCUGGGCCGAUACUGACACUGAGGAGCGAAAGCGUGGGGAGCGAACAGG
rnacentral:rRNA from 1 species